UACGUAGGGUGCGAGCGUUAUUCGGAAUUACUGGGCGUAAAGCGUGCGCAGGCGGUUCGUCAAGUCUGAUGUGAAAUCCCCGGGCUCAACCCGGGAACUGCCUUCAUGACUGCAAAGCUUGAGGAUGCGAGAGGUUAGCGGAAUUCCGAGUGUAGAGGUGAAAUUCGUAGAUAUUCGGAAGAACACCAGUGGCGAAGGCGGCUAACGGGCGCAUUUAUGACGCUGAGGUGCGAAAGCGUGGGGAGCAAACAGG
rnacentral:rRNA from 1 species